rnacentral:rRNA from 1 species
GACGAACGCUGGCGGCGCGCUUUAUACAUGCAAGUCGAACGUGAAGCUCGGAGCUUGCUCCGGGUGGAAAGUGGCGAACGGGUGAGUAUCACGUGAGAAACCUGCCCCGAAGACCGGGAUAACACCGGGAAACCGGUGCUAAUACCGGAUGCCCUCACCGGAUCGCAUGGUCUGGUGAGGAAAUGGAUUCCGCUUCGGGAUGGUCUCGCGGCCUAUCAGCUUGUUGGUGGGGUAAUGGCCCACCAAGGCUUCGACGGGUAGCUGGUCUGAGAGGAUGUCCAGCCACACUGGGACUGAGACACGGCCCAGACUCCUACGGGAGGCAGCAGUGGGGAAUCUUGCGCAAUGGGCGAAAGCCUGACGCAGCGACGCCGCGUGAGGGAUGACGGCCUGGUGUAAC